ACCCUUCAUUUUUACGUCGUUGUACCUUUUUUUUAUGAUCAUAUUCGAGCACAUAUUAAAGUACGUAAAUUUUUUGUAUUAGUGAUGUAAAAGAUUUAAAAUUUAAAAAUUUGAAUGUAUAAUUUUUAAAAGAAUUUUUUUACAUGUUUAAUUCAUUUUAUUUUAAAAAUUCAUAUUUAUGUUUCAUAAAUCAUAUUUAGUCCGACUAGUGAGAUUAAAAAAAAACAAUUUAAAUUCAAACUUUUUAGCGAAUGCUAGUCCAAUUUGGUGAAUUUGUUAGUUAAAACAUUGAGCGAUUUUUGAGAUUAUAAUUUAUAGUGUAUAAUUUUUCUCUUAUUUCUAUCAUCAUUAUUGUCCCAUCAAGUUGUGCCUCAAUUGUCUGGACUUCAUGAUUAACAUCAGAUUGAACCUUAAAUUCAUCAUACUUAACAUCAUAAUUAACCGCCACGUAAGUGUUUUUGUAAACGUAGA
rnacentral:lncRNA from 1 species